ACACCCCUCAAGCUCUGCUUGGUGUUGGGCGUCUGUCCGCUGCCGCAAGGCGAUGGACUCGCCCCAAAGGCAUUGGCAGUGGCAUCCGCCGGGCUUUCCCCAACAGCGCAGCACUGUUCGCGCACCCGGGGAGCCGCGCGGGAGCUGCGUCCACGAAGCCCUAUCUUUGCA
rnacentral:misc_RNA from 1 species